GAUCAUAUCAUAUAGAGUUGAGACACAUGUUCCUGUAAGAUCACCGAAGUUAAGCAACGUCAAGCCUGGUCAGUAACUGAAUGGGUGACCGCUUGGGAAUACGAAGUGCUGUAA